UACGAAGGGGACUAGCGUUGUUCGGAAUUACUGGGCGUAAAGCGCGCGUAGGCGGAUCGCUAAGUCAGGGGUGAAAUCCCAGGGCUCAACCCUGGAACUGCCUUUGAUACUGACGAUCUGGAGAUCGGGAGAGGUUGGUGGAAUUCCGAGUGUAGAGGUGAAAUUCGUAGAUAUUCGGAGGAACACCAGUGGCGAAGGCGGCUCACUGGUCCAUUACUGACGCUGAGGUGCGAAAGCGUGGGGAGCAAACAGG
rnacentral:rRNA from 1 species